AAAAAAAAAAGAAGUUUAGGCUGAUUCCCCACUGUCACCUUCCAGCAAAGAGUAGCCUUUUAUGGAGAUUGAUGGAUUGGGUUUAUCUCCUAGUAGAGCCCGCCAGGGAGGUUGUCAGCCACCAUUCCUCAUUUUAGUGGCUCCAUAAUGGCUUCUCUGAUACCAUCUGGGACACAUUCCCCAGGCUGCCCUCUUCCACCCCAGCUACUUGGAUAUGUUCUUUACCUGAGUUCUUUUUGUUUCUCAGCCAUUUCAGAAGAGGCACUGUCCUUCCAAUUUUAUUUUAUUUUUAUUUUUUGUUUAAUUUUUUAAAGACAGAGUCUCACUGUGUCGCCC
rnacentral:lncRNA from 10 species